rnacentral:rRNA from 1 species
GGCUAGAGUCUUGUAGAGGGGGGUAGAAUUCCAGGUGUAGCGGUGAAAUGCGUAGAGAUCUGGAGGAAUACCGGUGGCGAAGGCGGCCCCCUGGACAAAGACUGCCGCUCAGGUGCGAAAGCGUGGGGAGCAAACAGGAUUAGAUACCCUGGUAGUCCACGCCGUAAACGAUGUCGAUUUGGAGGUUGUGCCCUUGAGGCGUGGCUUCCGGAGCUAACGCGUUAAAUCGACCGCCUGGGGAGUACGGCCGCAAGGUUAAAUCUCAAAUGAAUUGACGGGGGCCCGCACAAGCGGUGGAGCAUGUGG